AAUUGACCUCGGAUCAGGUAGGGAUACCCGCUGAACUUAAGCAUAUCAAUAAGCGGAGGAAAAGAAACCAACAGGGAUUGCCUAGUAACGGCGAGUGAAGCGGCAACAGCUCAAAUUGAAAUCUGGCUCUUUUAGGGUCCGAGUUGUAAUUUGCAGAGGGUGCUUUGGCAAAGGUUGUGGUCUAAGUUCCUUGGAACAGGACGUCACAGAGGGUGAGAAUCCCGUACGUGGCCGCCAACCCGCGCUAUGUAAAGCCCCUUCGACGAGUCGAGUUGUUUGGGAAUGCAGCUCUAAAUGGGAGGUAAAUUUCUUCUAAAGCUAAAUAUUGGCCAGAGACCGAUAGCGCACAAGUAGAGUGAUCGAAAGAUGAAAAGCACUUUGGAAAGAGAGUCAAAAAGCACGUGAAAUUGUUGAAAGGGAAGCGCUUGCAGCCAGACUUGCCUGUAGUUGCUCAUCCGGGCUCUUGCCCGGUGCACUCUUCUAUAGGCAGGCCAGCAUCAGUCUUGGCGGUCGGAUAAAUGCGUGCUAAACGUACCUCUCUUCGGGGAGGACUUAUAGGGCACGCGGCAUACGACCAGCCGGACUGAGGUCCGCGCAUCUGCUAGGAUGCUGGCGUAAUGGCUGUAAGCGGCCCGUCUUGAAACACGGACCAAGGAGUCUAACAUCUAUGCGAGUGUUUGGGUGUCAAGCCCGAGCGCGUAAUGAAAGUGAACGGAGGUGGGAACCCCUCGGGGUGCACCAUCGACCGAUCCUGAUGUCUUCGGAUGGAUUUGAGUAAGAGCAUAGCUGUUGGGACCCGAAAGAUGGUGAACUAUGCCUGAAUAGGGUGAAGCCAGAGGAAACUCUGGUGGAGGCUCGCAGCGGUUCUGACGUGCAAAUCGAUCGUCAAAUUUGGGCAUAGGGGCGAAAGACUAAUCGAACUAUCUAGUAGCUGGUUCCUGCCGAAGUUUCCCUCAGGAUAGCAGUAACGUUUUCAGUUUUAUGAGGUAAAGCGAAUGAUUAGAGGCCUGGGGGUUGAAACAACCUUCACCUAUUCUCAAACUUUAAAUAUGUAAGAAGUCCUUGUUACUUAAUUGAACGUGGACAUUUGAAUGUAUCGUUACUAGUGGGCCAUUUUUGGUAAGCAGAACUGGCGAUGCGGGAUGAACCGAACGCGGGGUUAAGGUGCCAGAAUGCACGCUCAUCAGACACCACAAAAGGUGUUAGUUCAUCUAGACAGCAGG
rnacentral:rRNA from 1 species